CAGUCGCCGCGGUAAUACGAAGGGGGCUAGCGUUGUUCGGAUUUACUGGGCGUAAAGCGCACGUAGGCGGACUUUUAAGUCAGGGGUGAAAUCCCGGGGCUAAACCCCGGAACUGCCUUUGAUACUGGAAGUCUUGAGUAUGGUAGAGGUGAGUGGAAUUCCGAGUGUAGAGGUGAAAUUCGUAGAUAUUCGGAGGAACACCAGUGGCGAAGGCGGCUCACUGGACCAUUACUGACGCUGAGGUGCGAAAGCGUGGGGAGCAAACAGGAUUAGAGACCCGAGUAGUCCCUGUCUCUUAUAC
rnacentral:rRNA from 1 species